rnacentral:lncRNA from 1 species
CCGUGCCCGGCGCGGUACCUGCGGGCGGGCGGGCGGCCCUUCCCCCGUGCCGGCCGCGGGUCGCCGCUCCGCAGCGCCCCGGUCACUUAUUGAUUAUUUUGUUACGGGGACGGGGCAUCGAUCCCUCCAUCCCCCACGCCCGCCCGGAGGUGCGAGAGCCCUGCAAGUUUGCAAACCCCGCGCUCCCCCUGCACCUCCCUCCCGCCGCAUUCGGCGUGCGGGCCGGGACUAAUUAAUUUAAUACAUUUAGAACUAAUUGUAUUUACUUUCGCCUCCCCCCCGCCCCCAGCCCCCCUUCCCGUUCGGGAGGGGGUUGGGGCCGGUCCGGGGGCCGAGGCGCGGCGGCGGCUGGAGCGGAGCGGCGGAGCGGCUCGGUCCGAACCUCGACAGCGCCAUCUCUCGUCCGCAGCUUCUUGCUCCGGUUUGUUUUCAAGCAUCUCCGUUCGACGACGUACCCGUGGAGCCCUGCUCGCUCCCAGUGUGCUGCUGACCUGGUUCAUGAGUCUCCAAACAAAUGUAUAUUUAUUGUGGGAGAGUUUUCUGACAGACACUGCAGGGGGACGUGAAACAUUAACUCCAGAGCCUCUGGGGUCAGCCUGUGUGGAGCACGGCAGCAGCAGAGGCAGAGCUUGCACCGCUGGAGUGCGUGUGCCUGUCCCACACACCACAUCCAGCAGGAGCAAACGUGCAGCUUUUGUGUUAUAUGAGCUCACAGAGUAAUUUGUUAUAACUUAAACACGUAUCAAGACCAACACGUUAAGUACAGUUACUGCUCCUUUUGUUUAUCUAGUGUCUUAUUUUAUGGUGUGGAACUAAACAGUGUCCGCUGAAUUUAACUAUGAGACCGGCCAAACUGAUUUCAGAAAGACUUCUGCAGGGUAACAGAGUGAUAAGGCAUAAACUACUCCUAGGUGCAGUGCUAGAUAAAUCCUUUUAACAGUCUUCAGAUCAGUUAACAGGGUAAGUAAAUCACAUAUCACUGUUAGCAGAUUUAUGGGAGAGAAUUAAUAGAAUCAGACGAGAUAAUCUGGUAGGGAUAAAAUUGCUGAGGAAACAGUCCUGCCUUAUAUUGGAGGGUAUGAAACAACAGUCUGAUUACUGGGAGUCAUUAUGGAUUGCUGAAUUAUGAGCUAAAUCAUCGUAAGAGUAAUUCAGUAUUUAUUAAUUCUUUUCUCUUUAAACAACUCACAGAUGCAAAUAAAAGCCUCUCUCUCUUUGAAGACA